UUCGGGGGGGGCAAGCGUUGUUCGGAAUUACUGGGCGUAAAGGGCUCGUAGGCGGCCAACUAAGUCGGAUGUGAAAUCCCCAGGCUCAACUUGGGAACUGCAUCCGAUACUGGAUGGCUUGAAUUCGGGAGAGGGAUGCAGAAUUCCAGGUGUAGCGGUGAAAUGCGUAGAUAUCUGGAGGAAUACCGGUGGCGAAGGCGGCAUCCUGGACCGACAUUGACGCUGAGGAGCGAAAGCUAGGGGAGCAAACGGG
rnacentral:rRNA from 1 species